rnacentral:misc_RNA from 1 species
AAGUCGUAACAAGGUUUCCGUAGGUGAACCUGCGGAAGGAUCAUUAACACGUAUCCAACGUUAAACCCCCCGUGCACACAGCGACCUGCUCCCCUCAAUUUCGGUCUUUUGGCAAUCCCUGGUAAAUCAUCGCCGAACAGUUUUGAUUCAGGGACAUCCAAAGGGCCGGGGUAGGGUAUUAAAGUAGUAGUCAAUGCAAAGCAACCUGGUUUCUUUGAAGCAGAAAGUGUGAUGGCGUGAGCCGGAGAACGGACCGAGUGGUAGUUCAAAGGUGUCUUCUGUCGCGCACUGUGGUUCCUGGUCCUAGACCCCAUAUUCACCACCACAGUCGCAGACGAGGUAGGGAUACGUCCCUACCACCAAAUAAAUACUUGAACAACUGUUAACAAUGGAUAUCUUGGUUCUC